UACGGGAGGCAGCAGUGGGGAAUAUUGCACAAUGGGCGCAAGCCUGAUGCAGCCAUGCCGCGUGUAUGAAGAAGGCCUUCGGGUUGUAAAGUACUUUCAGUCGUGAGGAAGGUGUUAAGGUUAAUAACCUUAGCAAUUGACGUUAGCGACAGAAGAAGCACCGGCUAACUCCGUGCCAGCAGCCGCGGUAAUACGGAGGGUGCGAGCGUUAAUCGGAAUUACUGGGCGUAAAGGGCACGCAGGCGGUUAAUUAAGUUGGAUGUGAAAUCCCCGGGCUUAACCUGGGAAUGGCAUUCAAGACUGGUUAGCUAGAGUCUUGUAGAGGGGGUAGAAUUCCGAUGUGUAGCGGUGAAAUGCGUAGAGAUGUGGAGGAAUACCGGUGGCGAAGGCGGCCCCUGGGACAAGGGACUGACGCUCAUGUGCGAAAGCGUGGGGAGCAAACAGGGAUUAGAUA
rnacentral:rRNA from 1 species